UACGUAGGGGGCAAGCGUUGUCCGGAAUCAUUGGGCGUAAAGAGCGUGUAGGCGGCUUGGUAAGUCCGCUGUGAAAGUCCAGGGCUCAACCCUGGAAUGCCGGUGGAAACUGUCAAGCUUGAGUCCGGAAGAGGCGAGUGGAAUUCCCGGUGUAGCGGUGAAAUGCGCAGAUAUCAGGAGGAACACCGAUGGCGAAGGCAGUGGCUGGGCCGGCACUGACGCUGAGGAGCGAAAGCGUGGGGAGCGAACAGG
rnacentral:rRNA from 1 species